CAUGGAGGAUAGGGUCCUCUCAGCUGGAGACCUCAGCAGUACUUCUGACACUGGAAUAAUGGAGAAGGGAAGUAAGGGGAAGGAUAUGCCUCAUUUCAUACUUAGACCUCCAAUUCAACAUGAAGUAGUGGACAAGUGUUAUUGCACAGAUUUCUGGCCAAAAAGCAGGAUGGGCAGGGCUCUGCCAGAGCAUCUGAAGCCCCACUUCACUCCAGCAUUUCUCACUGUAGUGCUUGGGAAAUGAGGAUCCAAAGCAGAGCUUGGCCACCAGAGGCAGAGAGACAAAGCACAGCCAGGUGUUAAAAGCAGCACUGGUCUGCUCCUGCACCCACAGAGAGAUGGAGAGACAGAAGCACACCAAUUUACACAGAAGCUAUUUUGAGUCAGGUACUAUUGUGGGUGCCACUAAUGGCAUAAUUUCUGCUUCUCAUAUUGGACUGGCACAUGUCCCACUCUA